UUGAAAAAUUUCCUGUUUUGAUGUGCAAUUGAACUUGAAAUUUUGUUUGACACACCCCUAAAAGCCAGUAUAAAUGUUACCAACACAAGUCUCAGUAGCCAGUGCUUGCUGUUGUAGUCUUGCGAAACAAACAACAUGUUCAAAAUUCUUGUAUUCUUGGCUCUUGUAGCUUUUGCUAUCGCUGCACCUAAAGCCGAACCUCAAUAUUUUUACUCUGGUCUCUAUGGGGGAUAUUCUAACGGCUAUGGCUAUGCUGCUCCUUAUACCUAUGGUGGUUAUGGAAGUUAUUUCUUUUAAAGAAAAAUAUGCGAAUUGUAUUUUUAAAUAAAUUUACUUAUUCUUAAUUAAUAA